ACCUUCGUGGUGUAGUGGUCAGCACGCACGACGCGUAACCUAGCGGGCCGUGGUUCGAUUCCCGGCGAAGGCG
rnacentral:tRNA from 1 species